CUGGAAUGGUGUUGCGCUGCGGAUACUUCUGGUUUGGCUUAUUUCUCGUGCCCACUGCGUGCCUUGUUAAAGAUGUGGCAUGGAGAGCGGCCAAGCAUGUCUACCACAAAACUUUGCUGGAGGAGGUUCAGGAACUGGAGACCAAGACCAGAGAGCUGGGCAAAGCCAUGCUCCGUGAUAGCAACGGAAAGAGCGUGAACGAACGUGAUCAUUUGUUAAAAAGGCUUGGCAGGAAAACUCCUCCAAGCCUUUUUCGAGCUCAUUCCGUCCAGCAAAGUGUAUCACAUGGGUAUGCAUUCUCUCAAGAAGAACACGGUGUUGUUUCCCAGUCGGAAGUUGUUCGAUCCUAUGACACGACCAAACGGAGAGCAGAAGUGCAGUAACACACGAUUCUUUCCUUGAUUGGUGGUGGGAAUAAUGGGAUUUGGAUCGAUGCGUCCACUGUUAACGCAUCCGUGACUAAGGUUGGCAGCAGCAGCCAACACACCGGAGAACUCGUUUCUGUGGCCUUAGCCAACAAGUUUCCACAUGGUCCCUGCAAACCUUGAGUACAUAUUGGGGGCGGGCGGGGGGGAUCAUUGUUUGAAUUCAGUUGCAAAGCUCUGCCUAAACUUUGGUUCAUGUUGUUAUGAAGCAUUUGACUGUGCUAUGUGAGGUGUGAAAUUAAAAACAAUCUUUUACCACUGUUUAAAAGAUUGGCAUUAGGUUGUUCUGGGAGAAAAGUAGAAAAUUUAUGUUCCAUGAGAAAUCAGCCUUUGCUUAAUUGGAACAGGGGUGCUGAGAUUUCCUGUUUUGCUACACACAGACCAAGUGCACAUGGC